GACAGAGGGGGCAAGCGUUGCUCGGAAUUACUGGGCGUAAAGGGCGCGUAGGCGGAAUGGCAAGUCGGUCGUGAAAUCCUUCGGCUCAACCGAAGAACGUCGAUCGAAACUGCCGUUCUUGAGGAUUGCAGAGGAGACUGGAAUUCCCGGUGUAGCGGUGAAAUGUGUAGAGAUCGGGAGGAACACCGGUGGCGAAGGCGGGCCUCUGGGCAAUUCCUGACGCUGAGGCGCGAAAGCGUGGGGAGCGAUCCGG
rnacentral:rRNA from 1 species